AACGAACGCUGGUGGCGUGCCUCAUACAUGCAAGUCGAGCGAGGUUUCGAGUCGAGCGGCGUACGGGUGAGUAUCGCGUGAGUAACCUACCCUAUAGUUGGGAAUAACCCCCCUAACGGGGGACUAAUACCGAAUAUUGAGUGGCACUGCAUAGUGCUUAGUCGAAAGGGCGCAAGCCCGCUAAAGGAUGGACUCGCGUCUGAUUAGCUAGUUGGAGGGGUAACGGCCCACCAAGGCGACGAUCAUUAGGGGUUCUGAGAGGAAGGUCCCCCACAUUGGAACUGAGAAACGGUCCAAACUCCUACGGGAGGCAGCAGUGAGGAAUAUUGGUCAAUGGGCGAGAGCCUGAACCAGCCAAGUCGCGUGAAGGAAGAAGGUCUUAUGGAUUGUAAACUUCUUUAGCAGGGGAAUAAAGGUUAUUACGAGCUAAUAAUUUGCAGGUACUCUGACGAAAAAGGUCGGCUAACUCCGUGCCAGCAGCCGCGGUAAACUCGUCU
rnacentral:rRNA from 1 species